rnacentral:rRNA from 1 species
UGGGGAAUAUUGGACAAUGGGGGCAACCCUGAUCCAGCCAUGCCGCGUGAGUGAAGAAGGCCUUAGGGUUGUAAAGCUCUUUCAGUCGUGACGAUGAUGACGGUGGCGACAGAAGAAGCCCCGGCUAACUCCGUGCCAGCAGCCGCGGUAAUACGGAGGGGGCAAGCGUUGUUCGGAUUUACUGGGCGUAAAGGGCGCGUAGGCGGGGUAUCAAGUUAGGGGUGAAAGCCCGGGGCUCAACCUCGGAACUGCCUUUAAAACUGAUACUCUAGAGUCCGGAAGAGGGUCGCGGAAUUCCCAGUGUAGGGGUGAAAUUCGUAGAGAUUGGGAAGAACAUCGGUGGCGAAAGCGCUCUGCUGGGCCGCAACUGACACUCAGGGACGAAAGCUAGGGGAGCGAAAGGGAUUAGAUACCCCUGUAGUCC